GGUGUUAAUGGCGAUGAGGAACCACCUGUUCCCAUACCGAACACAGAAGUUAAGCUCAUCUGCGCCGACAAUACUUGGCGGGCGACUGCCUGGGAAGAUAGGUCGAUGCCG
rnacentral:rRNA from 1 species